GGUUAAGUGACUAAGCGUACAUGGUGGAUGCCUUGGCAGUCAGAGGCGAUGAAGGACGUACUAACCUGCGAUAAGCUGUGAGAAGUCGGUAAGAGACGCUAUUACUCACAGAUUUCCGAAUGGGGAAACCCACCCAAGAUAACUUGGGUAUCGUUACAUGAAUACAUAGUGUAACGAGGCGAACCGGGAGAACUGAAACAUCUAAGUACCCCGAGGAAAAGAAAUCAACCGAGAUUCCCUCAGUAGCGGCGAGCGAACGGGGAUUAGCCCUUAAGUUUCUUGGAAGUUAGUGGAAUGGUCCU
rnacentral:rRNA from 1 species